rnacentral:lncRNA from 1 species
AGAAAAGCAAAGACCAAGCUCGUACUUUUCAGUCCGCGGCUUGUGUGCCGCGAGGAGAGGCGCAAAGGGUGACACACCAGGAAAGCAGGUAGCAGGCAAGAGUGUGGUUAUCGUUGGACCAGGAUUCAGGAUCUGACUGAGUAGCUGACUCUUAAUCCAGUUUGUGUUGAUCACCAGGAGGAUCUGGACCUCAGUAUUACCACAUCUAGAGCUAUAAUCACAUCCCUGUUAAGCCUUCCUGAGAUCACACCAAAUGUCCUUGAUGGGAAUUGUAAACAACCCUUACUUCUGGUUUCUAAUGAUAUUCCAGGAAAGGAGCCUAACUAGAGUCAGUGAUAUGCCAACUCCACCUUUGCCUUCCACCAUGUUUGGAAGCUCCCUGAGGCCUCACCAGGAGCAGAUGCUCGUCCCAUGCUUCCUAUAAGCCUGCAGAACUGUGAGCCAUAAUAAACUGUGAAUUAUAAAUUGCCUUUAUAGCAAUGCAAAUGGACCAGUACAGAUGGGAUGCUGGGAAGACAGUUGUUUCCACCUUCAGUAAAGUCCGUGGAACACAGUUGUGACUAUAUUCUAGGCCAGCCAAGAUGCUUGUACUCAGAAAGGAGUGGUCUCAGGACCAUAAGAAAGUGAAAAAAUAAAAAUAAGAAAAUAAAGAAGGGAUUGUCAAUGAAUCAGAAUUCAUCAAGGUCAAAGUCUUAGGAAAUUCCUUCAUGAGGAAGUCUAGGGGGGCUAUGGAAAUGAAAUUUUUAAACAAAUAGGUAUGUGGUGCUGGCAGGAAUAAAUUAUGGACUUAUGAAUAUAACAUAAGAUUCUUUAUUACCUGGUCUCACCCGUCUUUCCACCUCUGCCCCCCUUCUUGCCCGACUCUGUGUAUCACCCAUAAUAAACUACUUACAGCUUCCUAGUGUUAAAUUUACCCUAAAGCUGCCUCCUUCAAUAUUUUAAGUUUAACCUAAAGGUUCUUCAUACAUAGUGAACUAUAACCCAAUGAUUAAACAGAUUGUAACCUACUCUUGUACCAGUCACCAAGUUUCAGCCAAUCAGAGGUGGCCAACUGUUCAAACCAUGCUCAAAUAAGGGAAAUGUCAUGGUGUAACUAAUCCAGCUGUUUCUAUACCUUACUUCUGUUUUCUUAGGUCACUUUCCUUUUUUGUCCAUAAAUUCUCUCCAACCACUCAGCAGCACUGGAGUCACUCCAAAGCUAUCCUGGUUCAGGGGUCUGUCUGAUUCACAAGUCAUUCUUUGUUCAAUUGAGCUCUGCUAAAUUUAAUUUGUCUGAAGUUUUUCUUUUAACAGAUGGUGUCAGAAAUGGACCCCAAAGUAGAGCUCCCAGUGAUCCCCCAGGAGCACUGAGUGACCACAAGGGGUACCUGCUGGGCCCGUCCUCUCGCAGUGUCCACUGCUCUCUUACAGCAACUGGAGAUUGUGGCUGCAUUCUCUCUCAGAUUCUGAAGCUCCAUACAUUGCCGUUUUCAGCUGUUCAAGCUUGCUUGAGCAAAUUUUUGAUCUUAGCUGAGUUUGGAAGUCGAUAGACAUUGGACUGGGUCCAGGAUUUGAUUGGAUCUGAUAAUUAACUGGCUUGGAUCCAGUUAGAUGCCUCGGUUAUCUGACUGGGUCAGAUAGAAACCGCCAGUAAAUAUUUUAAUAACAAUACUGCAGGGGUAUGAACUCUGGCUUUAAGAAACUCACAAGGAAUUUUAUGUUCUAUACCCUUUGUUUCUUUUUCUUGUGUGCUUCGGUCAGGAAAAAUCAUUAGUCAAGUUAAUCAAGGGGAUCUGAGAGCCAAAUACAAGAUUCAACGUAAAAAUGGAAUCCUUGGGCUAGGCGUGGUGGCUCAGGCCUGUAAUCCCAGGACUUUGGGAGGCUGAGGCAGGCGGAUCACCUGACCUUAGGAGUUCGAGACCAGUCUGGCCAACAUGGUGAAACCCCGUCUCCACUAAAAAUACAAAAAUUAGCCAGGCGUGGUGGUGGGCACCUGUAAUCCCAGCUACUUUGGAGGCUGAGGCAGGAUAAUCACUUGAACCCAGGAGGCAGAGGUUGCAGUGAUCUGAGAUUGCACCACUGCACUCCAGCCUGGGCAAAAGAGCGAGACUCCAUCUCAUAAAUAAAUACAUAAAUAAAUAAAGAAAUCCUUAAUUUCUGCGGAACUGAGUGCUCUACCUUCUGGCUACACCUACGUAUACCUGUAUGAGGUAUAGGCCCUGGAAGCAGCAAACACUUACAGAAAUGGUGAAAUCUUACUAAAGGUAAUCUAAAGUUAUGGUGGAACAUCCCAAAUGAACAACACUGCACUUUAGGAAGUACAUAUAAAAAUGAAGUCUCCCAAUUUAGUAUUAUUCAGGGAUGGCUGUUGAAGUUCAGAAGCUUCUAAAAAGAUUCCAAUAAUUUUACAGAUUCUUUUAAAAGAUUCUUUGUAAAAGGCAAAUAAAAAGCUUAAGUGACUAAUCAGAAAAAUUAGGUCUUCUAACCUUUUGUCAUUGUUACUGUCUUGCCCUGAAAGGGAAAAGAAAGCUGGAUAAAGUAUUUAUAGAAGAUAGAGGACCUGUGGUGGCUCAUGCCUGUAAUCCAAGGUGGAAGGAUUGCUUGAGGCCAGAAGUUCAAGACCAGUCCAAGCAACAUAGCAAGGCCCCAUCUCUACAAAAAAUGAAAAUAAAAUUAGCCGAGCGUGAUGGCUCAUGCCUGUAGUUCUAGCUUCUAGAGAGGCUGAGGCAGGAGGAUUGCUUGAGUCCAGGAGUUCAAGAUUACAGUGAGCUAUGGUCACACCACUGCACUCCAGCCUGGGUGAUGGAGUGAGACUGUCUCAAUAAAAAGACAAAAAGGCUGGCCAGGGGCAGUGGUUCAUGCCUGUAAACCCAGCACUUUGGGAGGCAAAGGCAGGAGGAUUGCUUAAGCCCAGGAAUUUGAGAUCAGCCUGGACAACAUGGUCAAGGAAGCUUUUCCUGAUCCACUAACUAAGGACAAUCAAACCCUUCAUGAUCUAGAAUCUGGAGACUGUGUCUUCUGGGAAUAGUAUCAGAGAAAGACUGCCCUUACUGCCCACAUGUAGCAAAACUUUGAGACGUUGAAUUAUGGGUCCAUAAUCUCACAACUCAGAGGGGCACCUCUAGACUCUUGGAACUGUAUAUCUAUUGGAGACUUUAAGGUAAAGCUGAACAGAGAGACGUUUUUCUCCAGAAGCAGACAGCACCAUAGUCAUGGACAGCUUUCCCAAGAUCACAGAUCAAGACUUCUCUGCCGUCAUGAGACUCAUAACCUCUUAAUUUUUUCUUGCUUAUGCUUCUGUGAACAAUAGAAUUGGAAAAGGGGUGGUCCCGCGUGCACCCAUAGGGUAUACUUUUAUUUGUGGAGGAUUUUGCUGCCAACCUUAUACAUGGGCAAACUUAUGCCUUCAUGGAUGGAAGAUAAAGGGCUAAUAUGGGUUAGAAAUUUUAAUGGUACCUUUGUUUCUCCAUAAUCAUUCAGAAACAGAACACUGGUCCACUCUUGUUAACCUACAUCAUAGGUUGAAGAGAACAUUGCCAGGAGGCCUUCAUCCUUCCAGAUGGGCACCAUUUGUUGGGUCUUUUUCCGUGGUAUGAAGAAAAUGAAGCAAUGAUUAGAAAUUGGUCCCUCGGCCGGGCACAAUGGCUCAUGCCUGUAAUCCCAUCACUUUGGCAGGCCGAGGCGGGUGGAUCACCUGAGGUCAGGAGUUUGAGACCAGCCUGACCAAUGUGGUGAAACGCCAUCUCUACUAAAAAUACAAAAAUUAGCUGGGUGUGAUGGUGCACACCUGUAAUCCAGCUACUCGGGAGGCUGAGACAGGAGAAUUGCUUGAACCUGGGAGGCAGAGGUUGCAGUGAGCCAAGAUCACCCCACUGCAUUCCAGGUUGGGCAACAGAGCAAGACUCUGUCUCAAAAAAAAAAGAAGAAAGAAAGAAAUUGAUCCCUCAUAAUAGGCUGUAUAGCAGAUUCUACUGCAAAGGCUAUGGUUGCACAACAGACUUCUUUGAAUUUGCUUGCUAAACUUUUACUGGAUAAUACUGGGAUUACAGGUGUGAGCCACUGUGCCCAGCCUCUCCUGUUUAACUGUAUUCAUUCUAAUGUUUACUUACUUCUUUAAUUUGUAAAAUUGGGUCACUUAGAGUUUUUUUAGCCUAUCUUGCCAUUUAGCCACUGUUACUGAUAAUUUGGAUGGAAAAGAAAAAUAAAUUAUAUCACCUCUCAUCUUCAGUGUAUAUAUGUGUUAACUUAGUAAAUAUAGUAUUCUUUCUCGUUCCUAAUGAAAAUUUAGUUUACGUACUGAAACACUGCAAACUUUUAUAAAUAUUGUGAUGUAUUUGACCAAUACAAAGGAUCUUUUUAGAAACAGCAAACAGUUCUCAGAUUAUAGGAAUUACUCAUUUAAUGAUAGUUUCUUCUU